AUGGCCUCUGGUUUUCUCCGUUAUAGCAGAUUUGUUGACAUACUGACUUUGUUAAACACACAUUGUAUUUCCAGGGUGCUGUUGCUCUCACUGUUGGCCUUCAGCAAGCAUGCUGAGUCUCUUACUUACAGGAGUACCUACUCCAGUGGUAUUAAGCCUUACUCUGGGAUGGCUGAGAAUUUUCCACACAACCAGAAUCCUGUUUUCAGACAUAAGAGCUAUGCACAACCCCGAAGUUCUCUGGGUGUUUAUGGGCCUGAACAUGGGUCACCUGAGAAUUCUUACCCCACUGCUGCAGGUAUGCCUGGUGGUGCUGGUGCUUCCUCUGGUGGGCCAUUAAAUGGUUACCAUCAACAAGGAAGCAUGUCUAGCUACAGAUCUGGCUCAUCACAUUACCAGGGGGAUACUGAUGGUGCCCUCCAGUCCAAAGAUGCCAUGUGGGGUUUAGCUUCACCCCAGAAAAGAAACCGGAUUGACACAGGAAUUGUCUCAAGUUAUCCAAUUGAGAUGCGUUCUGUGCCCCAGUGGCAAAGUAAUGAGCACCAGACCCAGCCACACCCUGAGCGAGAACAGUUUAGCGACUUUCAGUCUCGCCCGCUGCCCCAGCAGCCGCGCUACGAGGCCAGCAAGCCCCAGGCCCGGCCUUUCCCCAGCAGCCGCGCUACGAGGCCAGCAAGCCCCAGGCCCGGCCUUUCCCCAGCAGCCGCGCUACGAGGCCAGCAAGCCCAGGCCCGGCCUUUCCCCCAGCAGCCGCGCUACGAGGCCAGCAAGCCCCAGGCCCGGCCUUUCCCCCAGCAGCCGCGCUACGAGGCCAGCAAGCCCCAGGCCCAUCCGCGCAGUGAGGCCAAUUCUCCAAGUGAAGAUGUGCUGCAAAACAAAGCUAGCAUGUGGGACUUGGCUAUUAACUCCAAUGCUGAUCCAAGAAGUUUGAGACCCAUUCAAGUUUCAUCAAGUUAUCUCUACAGCUGGCCACAGCAACAGGCACCCUUCUACAACAGAUAUUAACAAUAGGUUUCUGACCUCACCUGUGAACAGCUGGUUUUGGCUUGGCAUCAGAUUUUGUGAUAUCAAUAAAGUACACAGAACUACACUCCCUGGCUGCUGUUUAAAGCUCCUUUGACCAUGAGUAAGUUCAGUUUUAUGCAUGCUCUCAUGAUAAACUGAGCUGCUCUAUAGAUCUAGGCUUGUACUGUUGCUACCAUAAUGUUGCCUUCCAGUAUACAAACUGAAGCUGUAAGCCCCAAAGACUGUCACAGAAUUGUCUUACAGUUGUGUAGCUUAGCAAAGCAAAUCUGCUUAGCUUGUCUUAAUGUUUCAACAAGUGUUCAGUGUUCACAACCACAAUUUUCACUUCAAGAACAAGGGGUGGAAACAUGGCAGUUUAAUGCCUUCUAUCAAUGGCAAAAAUUACAGUCCACUCAGGACUACAACCAACCAGAUGCUAAACGAAAAAUGGUGGUAGUCUGCCAAGCAGGUGCUCACUAUCAGGGAAAAUUAGGGAUUAGCAUCAACCAAGGCAGCUCAAAGCACAAGCAGCAAUAUAGCUUUGAAAGGUGUGGGUGUCAGUUUUUGGGUCCCAAUUGUGAACUAUGACCAUUCCUUCAACAUCAGUGUCACAUUAGCUGUUCUCUUUUUCUGCCUUAAAGUAAAUUGUCCUAAUGGGCUCAUAUUAAAGUUUGUUUUUAUUCUAUAGAGAUUCUCAUCUCACUAUUCAUGUGCCAUAUUUGUCCUUAUGCAAGAAGACUUGAGUCUUGAGUAUUAAUAUAAAUAUCUCAUGGAUUUAUGAUAUUCAUCAAAUGCUACUUCUUUGUCUUUUCACUUUUCUGCUGCUUCUUGCCCAAACACCGUCCCACCCCUCCUCCUCUCUGAUAGCUGUUAUUAGUUUAGUCGUCUCCAGUUUGGGGAGAUAAUGACAGUGCUGUUUUUUGGACACUGACUUCCUGUGUGUGUGGUGUUUCUCCCUGUCAUUAAGCAGCAAGUCUGUGUGGUUAAAAUGACACAGCUUUGACUGCAGGAAACACUGCCAACUUCACCAUCCGAUCCCAGCUCCAAUAAACUACUCACUGCUGGUUUUCAGCUUUCAUACUGUCUGUUGCUUGUUUGGGGGUUUCAGCAUAUUUUCCUUUACUUGAGUUUUACAAUAAAGAUAUUAUAGAUAUUUUAUAGCACACUGCUUACAGUACACUGUUGUGGUCUUUGCUUUACAUCAAAUGAAAAUGCACUUUAGUCAAAAGCACAUUGCACUUCAUCUGCAGUGACAUAUUUGUUGUAUGGAUCUUUUACUGGACGUCCCACAAUGUCAUUUAUACAGCGCCAAAUCGCAACAACAGUCACCUCAAGGCGCUUUAUAUUGUAAGGUUAACCCUACAAUAAUACAUACAGAGAAAAACCCAACAAUCAUAUGACCCCCUAUGAGCAAGCACUUUGGCAACAGUGGGAAGGAAAAACUCCCUUUUAACAGGAAGAAACCUCCGGCAGAAACUGCAUGAAAGGCUGUGGUUUGCAAGGUACCAGAUGUAAAGCAACCAAGGCAGAUACAGCUGCUUAAAUCAGUCAAACUCUAUUGAACAUUACUUUUCAAAGUGUUUCACAGAUUAUUAAAAAGCUGAUAAAACAAAUGGCAUGCUUUAAUAACGGACAUAGAAUUAACAAC
ensembl:lncRNA